AUUGACCUCGGAUCAGGUAGGGAUACCCGCUGAACUUAAGCAUAUCAAUAAGCGGAGGAAAAGAAACCAACAGGGAUUGCCUCAGUAACGGCGAGUGAAGCGGCAACAGCUCAAAUUUGAAAUCUGGCCCCUCUUCGGGGUCCGAGUUGUAAUUUGCAGAGAGUGCUUCGGGCGAGAUCGCGGUCUAAGUCCAUUGGAACAUGGCGUCGUAGAGGGUGAGAAUCCCGUAUGCGACCGUGGAUCGAGCCCAUGUGAAGCCUCUUCGACGAGUCGAGUUGUUUGGGAAUGCAGCUCAAAAUGGGUGGUAUAUUUCAUCUAAGGCUAAAUAUUGGCUGGAGACCGAUAGCGCACAAGUAGAGUGAUCGAAAGAUGAAAAGCACUUUGGAAAGAGAGUCAAACAGUACGUGAAAUUGUUGAAA
rnacentral:rRNA from 1 species